rnacentral:rRNA from 1 species
AACGAACGCUGGCGGCGUGUUUAAGACAUGCAAGUCGCACGGUGUCAUUUUGGUAGCAAUACUUGGAUGGCAUAGUGGCGCACGGGUGAGUAACACGUGAAUUACAUGCCCUGUAGAGGGGGAUAGCCCAGGGAAACUUGGAUUAAUACCCCAUGGUCUCGCAAGAGUAAAAGGUGGCCGCAAGGCUGUCGCUGCAGGAUUGGUUCGCGCCCUAUCAGCUUGUUGGCGGGGUAACGGCCCACCAAGGCUACGACGGGUACCUGGUCUGAGAGGACGAUCAGGCACACUGGAACUGAGACACGGUCCAGACACCUACGGGUGGCAGCAGUCGAGAAUAAUUCACAAUGGGGGCAACCCUGAUGGUGCAACGCCGCGUGGAGGAUGACGGUCUUCGGAUUGUAAACUCCUGUCAUCCGGGAGUAAGACCUGGGCAUUAACAGUGCAAAGGGUUGAUAGUACCGGAAGAGGAAGGGACGGCUAACUUCGUGCCAGCCGCCGCAGUAACAC